CUACGGAGGGUGCAAGCGUUACUCGGAAUCACUGGGCGUAAAGGACGCGUAGGCGGGUUGGUAAGUCAGAUGUGAAAUCCUACAGCUUAACUGUAGAACUGCAUUUGAAACUACUAACCUAGAGUAUGGGAGGGGGAGAUGGAAUUAGUGGUGUAGGGGUAAAAUCCGUAGAUAUCACUAGGAAUACCGAAAGCGAAGGCGAUCUCCUGGAACAUAACUGACGCUAAGGCGUGAAAGCGUGGGGAGCAAACAGGAUUAGAAACCCUAGUAGUCC
rnacentral:rRNA from 1 species